rnacentral:rRNA from 1 species
UACGGGGGGGGCAAGCGUUGUUCGGAAUUACUGGGCGUAAAGGGCUCGUAGGCGGCCAACUAAGUCAGACGUGAAAUCCCUCGGCUUAACCGGGGAACUGCAUCUGAUACUGGAUGGCUUGAGUUCGGGAGAGGGAUGCGGAAUUCCAGGUGUAGCGGUGAAAUGCGCAGAUAUCAGGAGGAACACCGAUGGCGAAGGCAGGUCUCUGGGCCGGAUACUGACGCUGAGGAGCGAAAGCGUGGGGAGCGAACAGG